UUGAAGAUGACGAGCGGCGGACGGGUGAGUAAUGCCUGGGAAUUUGCCCAUUUGUGGGGGAUAACAGUUGGAAACGACUGCUAAUACCGCAUACGCCCUACGGGGGAAAGCAGGGGACCUUCGGGCCUUGCGCUGAUGGAUAAGCCCAGGUGGGAUUAGCUAGUAGGUGAGGUAAAGGCUCACCUAGGCGACGAUCCCUAGCUGGUCUGAGAGGAUGAUCAGCCACACUGGGACUGAGACACGGCCCAGACUCCUACGGGAGGCAGCAGUGGGGAAUAUUGCACAAUGGGGGAAACCCUGAUGCAGCCAUGCCGCGUGUGUGAAGAAGGCCUUCGGGUUGUAAAGCACUUUCAGCGAGGAGGAAAGGGUGUAAGUUAAUACCUUACAUCUGUGACGUUACUCGCAGAAGAAGCACCGGCUAACUCCGUGCCAGCAGCCGCGGUAAUACGGAGGGUGCGAGCGUUAAUCGGAAUUACUGGGCGUAAAGCGUGCGCAGGCGGUUUGUUAAGCGAGAUGUGAAAGCCCCGGGCUCAACCUGGGAACCGCAUUUCGAACUGGCAAACUAGAGUCUUGUAGAGGGGGGUAGAAUUCCAGGUGUAGCGGUGAAAUGCGUAGAGAUCUGGAGGAAUACCGGUGGCGAAGGCGGCCCCCUGGACAAAGACUGACGCUCAGGCACGAAAGCGUGGGGAGCAAACAGGAU
rnacentral:rRNA from 1 species